rnacentral:misc_RNA from 1 species
GAUGAAGAACGCAGCAAAAUGCGGUAAGUAAUGUGAAUUGCAGAAUUCAGUGAAUCAUCGAAUCUUUGAACGCACAUUGCGCCCGCUGGUAUUCCGGCGGGCAUGCCUGUUCGAGCGUCAUUUCAACCCUCAAGCCCCCGGGUUUGGUGUUGGGGAUCGGCUCUGCCCUUCUGGGCGGUGCCGCCCCCGAAAUACAUUGGCGGUCUCGCUGCAGCCUCCAUUGCGUAGUAGCUAACACCUCGCAACUGGAACGCGGCGCGGCCAUGCCGUAAAACCCCAACUUCUGAAUGUUGACCUCGGAUCAGGUAGGAAUACCCGCUGAACUUAAGCAUAUCAAUAAGCGGAGGA